rnacentral:rRNA from 1 species
AUUGAACGCUGGCGGCAGGCCUAACACAUGCAAGUCGAACGAGUGGCGGACGGGUGAGAAAUGUCUGGGAAACUGCCCGAUGGGGGGGGAUAACUACUGGAAACGGUAGCUAAUACCGCAUACCAUCGGAUGUGCCCAGCUGGGAUUAGCUAGUUGGUGGGGUAACGGCUCACCUGGGCGACGAUCUCUAGCUGGUGUGAUAGGAUGACCAGCCACACGGGAACGGAGACACGGACCAGAGGCCUACGGGAGGCAGAGGUGGGGAAUAUUGCACAAUGGGCGAAGGCCUGAUGCAGCCAUGCCGCGUGUAUGAAGAAGGCCUUCGGGUUGUAGAGUACUUUCAGCGAUGAGGCGUUACUCGCAGAAGAAGCACCGGCUAACUCCGUGCCAGCAGCCGCGGUAAUAC